UGAAUAAAUCAAUUAAAUAGUAUUAUCAACUUUGAAAGAACAAUUUUGUUCUGAAGAUUCUGCCUUCCCCUUUGGACUUUCAAUUGGAUAUGAGAAUAUAAGCAACUUUAUAUUGCAAGUUGUCCAAACAUGCUUGUUUUCCAGGAUAUACAAGUUUUUUCUUCUAAGUUUCCGGUAUUUUACUUGCUUGAUCAGGCCAGAUUAUUGAAGAACUUGAGCACAGGAUUGUAAUGAUCGAAUCUUCAUUAAGCAGGUUUGGAAUGAUGUUGGAUUCUGUUCAGAGUAACAUCAUCCAAGUCAAUGAAGGAACAAACGAAUUGGUGUUUGAGGAUAAGCAUUCAAUUCUACUACCUCCUUGUGUUUCUGUAUUUUGUGCGGACCAGAUCCAUGGAGCUUUACAUGUUCUUUAACUUUCAUUUUUAUGACUUUUAUUACCUGUUGAUGACUAAAACAUUCAGCUGCCCAAACUUCUUCUUCACUUUUCAGGCACUUAAUUCAAUCAAUUACCAGCAAAAAGAAACACUACAGAAUUUUCUUGAGAGGGGUAAAGAGUUCAGAGCUUCAUCACGGCGUUAUGUCCUUUUUUUAGCAUAGGUAAUGUUUUAUUUGGAUUGUUACAAGUUUUUGCAGAGGUCACUUAUUGCCAGCUUGUCAACUGCAAAUCGCUAUAAAUCUGAACAUUUGAAGAGACCAGAAAAUUGUGCCAUGGCCUAAGACUUUGCUUUGGUCGAGCCAAUGAAUUCCCUCUGCCACUAGCUUAUAAAAUGAAGCCACCCACGUUAUCCUUGCUACGCUACAUCAAAGGCUGGUGUGAAAGACUUCCUCGCUUCAUUCUAAACCAAUAUCAGGGACGUGGGGGACUCCAGUUAGAACAAAAAAAUAUCGAAGAUGAAGAGUAAAGUUAAGCCUUUGCUGCUAUCAGAACAAUUCACUGCAGAUGGACGCGGAGUACGCUUCCACUAUAGGUAUUGGUGGAGCUUUUGUAAUGUAAGUUGUAGUUAGGCUGCAUUGAAGAAUUAAUCUGUUCCGUUGGUAUCUGGGCAGUUGAAAAUGUUUGGCCUGUAAGAAAAUGUUCUCUAUUGCUGUACUUUUCCUCCAUCUGCUGACAAUCUACUAUCAAAAGGAGAUGAUGAGUGUGUAUGUAUGCAAGUUUUCUGCAGGAGGAAUUAGGUGUGAUGUCAAAAGCUCUGAAUCCACUUGAAAUUGAUCAAAACAUGCUUCAGGGAUAACGAGAAAGCAUAUUUUCAGGCUCCUUUUCCAUCAUUUAUGUCUUCAUUGGUCUUGAUUCUCCAUCUUUUGUACUUCUUAUGUUCAGGUUUUAAUAAACUCUACUUGAGUUAGUUGGCCUGCUUAAUAUUGCAAAAUGACUGCUUUGCUGCUCCAUUUUUUAACGUCUUAGUUGUAUCUAUGUGUAUUCAAUAGUGGACUAUUUCUCACAUUCUUUUUCACUUCUGAAAUUUGUUGGAAACAAAAAACAAAAAUUGUUCUUUUUGGAAAAGGAAUCAUAUCCUAAAUGGAGUUCAUUUUGUUGUCUUUUAGCUACUGAUUGAUUUUAAUGACAACUUUCAGAUUUAUUGGACAAUUUAAGACCACUAGUUUUAGAUAAUAAUAAAAGUAUAGUGCCACGAAAAUUCAAGACAUUAGUUAGAAGAUUUUAGAAUCAAAACAGGGAGAAAUAAGGAACAUCAUAGGUUUUUUGCAAUAUGACGAUACAAUUUUAGUUUUUUUAGAUGCAUCUUAGGCUUUAAGUUGAUUGCCGUAUCUUGGCAAGGCAACCCUGAUGGCAUUUAAGGUUCAUUUUUCCCCUUCAAAUGCAACUGGAUCUGCAGCCAUGGCGAUACCCUCAUCUCUGCCUGACUUUUGAUAACAGACAUAAGCCUUACUUUAAACUGUCAUAAGCAGCUCCACAUGCAUCUGAGGCCAAGAAUGUGUACAAAAAAUUUGUGGUCUUUUGUUUUUGUUAUUUGUAUUUUCAGUUGUUAAAGUUGAGGAUUUUGGCUGGUUUCUUGACUCCGAGUGAGGGGUUCUUGCAUGUGCAAAAGCCUAGGAAUUUUGUGUUUUAGAAUUCUGAUUAUCAGGUGAGUCAAUAAAGUUCUGGUUUUUCAUUUUGUAUUUUUUCUUUUUUUUUCCCGUUUUACAAAUUUUGCUCAAAGUUAAAAUUUGAUUGCUAUUGAAGGAUUGAUUGAGGUAUAGCAAGUUGACAUUUCUUACGUUGUGUAAUAAUCUUUGCUUAGGGAAAGAUGUGUGUGUGUGUGUGUGUGUUCUAAUCUUGGACUAAAAUGUUCGCAGUUUGAACUAAAAUGUAUGUACGUUUGCUGCAUAGAGGAAGUGAUGAUUAAUCAAUUGAGUGAGGGAGAAUAGUCUGGGAAUUAUGUGCUAUUCACAGUUUGCUUUUUAAUCUGCAGCUGUAUUAUUUUUGUCAAACUAUGUGGCUUUGGAUAUUACUGUGAAUUUGAGAAAAUAGACAUUAUUGCUUGGUCUUGGUUCAUAUUUUAAGUUUGGGGGUGAAUUUGUUGCAAUAUUUAUCAAUGCAGUUGACGUAAGGUGUAUUGAUACACACGCACGCACACACACACUCACACUUGCACUUGUAUUUGUGCUUCUCUGGAUUGGCUCAGCUUAUGAAAAUUAUUCUUGAAUUCACCAUAAAACUAUUUCAUCAUAAUGUUUGGUAAUGUAAGUUUUGCUCAUUAGUUCAUUGAGAAAACUGUGCUUGAAAGUCCUUAUUCUCAAGUUGGUAGUGCAGAAGUAUGUCUCCUUUUUCGCCAACUAGCUACUACCUAUUGGAAGUCCUCGUGCGAUCGCUGUGCAUUGAGCUUGUUGGAUAUUCAUGAUGUUUGAACACCCUAAAGUUGGUGCUUAUGUGAUAUCCAUGAUGCCGUUCGAUGAGGAUGUGCAUUCAUACUACGUUGGAACAUCGUCUGCCAUGCGAGUUUUCUUCUACGAGCCAUCCUUUACCGCCCAACAGAAAGAGUUUACAAGUAUCGAAAGCUAAUGAUGUACAAGUAGCAGGUCUCGCUUUGUUUAAUUUGAAGUAAACAUGAUGAAUACUUGGUGUUCUUUAUGUAAAAGUAAAUGCAUUAUCACUCUAAGUUUUUGGAUAGCUAAUUUUUUGUAUAAAUAGAAGUAUUGAGUCUUUUACUUGCA